UCCACAUGGUGAAUGUGCCUGAAUUAUUGC
rnacentral:piRNA from 2 species